rnacentral:tRNA from 1 species
GCCAAAGUAGCUCAGUCGGUAGAGCGGCGCACUCGUAAUGCGCAGGUCUGGGGUUCAACUCCCCACUUUGGCU